rnacentral:rRNA from 1 species
UCAAGCAAGAAAGAGCACAAGGAGAAUGCCUUGGCACUAGGAGCCGAUGAAAGACGUGGUAAGCUGCGAAAAGCUUCGGGGAGGCGCAAACAGCCAUCGAUCCGGAGAUAUCUGAAUGGGGAAACCUACUUGAGCAAACCUUAAGUAUCCAUGCGUGAAUCCAUAGCGUAUGGAAGGGAACGCUGUGAACUGAAACAUCUAAGUAGCAGUAGGAGGAGAAAGAAAAUUCGAUUUCCUAAGUAGCGGCGAGCGAACGGGAAAGAGGCCAAACCGAAGGACCUGGUUCUUCGGGGUUGCGGACUGCAUUUAGCAUUGCUGAGAGAUAGACGAAUGGUUUUGGGAAAGCCAGCCGAAGACGGUGAAAGCCCGGUAGACGAAAUCUUGAAGCAGCGAGCAGGAUCCAGAGUACCACGAGACACGAGAAACCUUGUGGGAAGCCGGGGGGACCACCCCCCAAGCCUAAAUACUCCCUAGUGACCGAUAGUGAAGCAGUACUGUGAAGGAAAGGUGAAAAGGACCCCGGGAGGGGAGUGAAAGAGAACCUGAAACCUUGUGCUUACAAACAGUCAAAGGCCUACGGGCUGAUGGCGUACUUUUUGUAGAACGGUCCGGCGAGUUACUAAUGCCAGCGAGGUUAAGUGGUCAGAAGCCACGGAGCCGAAGGGAAACCAAGUCUGAAUAGGGCGUAGAGUUGGUAUUAGUAGACCCGAAACCGGGUGACCUAUCCAUGUCCAGGUUGAAGGAACCGUAAAAGGUUUUGGAGGACCGAACACACAUGUGUUGAAAAACGUGGUGAUGAGGUGUGGAUAGCGGAGAAAUUCCAAUCGAACUCGGAGAUAGCUGGUUCUCCUCGAAAUAGCUUUAGGGCUAGCCUCGAGCUGGAGUCUAACGGAGGUAAAGCACUGAACUGACGCGGGGCCCAAAAAGGUUACCAACUCAUAUCAAACUAAGAAUGCCGUCAAGAUACCCUCGGGAGUCAGUCUGCGUGAGAUAAGUCGCGUGGACAAAAGGGAAAGAGCCCAGACCGACAGCUAAGGUCCCAAAGUACGUGUUAAGUGGAAAAGGAUGUGGGAUUUCAUAGACAACUAGGAUGUUGGCUUAGAAGCAGCCAUACAUUUAAAGAGUGCGUAAUAGCUCACUAGUCGAGAAAACCUGCGCCGAAAAUGUAACGGGGCUAAAACACGACACCGAAGCUACGGAUUUCCUACUAGGUAGGAAGUGGUAGAGGAGCAUCCUGCAAGGACGAAGCCAAAGUGAGAGCGAUGGUGGACGAAACAGGAGAGAGAAUGCCGGAAUGAGUAGCGAGAUACAUGUGAGAAACAUGUAGGCCGAAUAUCUAAGGAUUCCUGGGUAAAGCUAAUCUUCCCAGGGUUAGUCGGGGCCUAAGGCGAGGACGAGAGUCGUAGUCGAUGGAUAACAGGUUGAUAUUCCUGUACUACACAUAAUCAGAACUGUGGGGACGCAGGAGGAUAGGGAAACCGGGGAAUGGAAAGACCCGGUCAAGCGCAAAGCUGUGGGAGAUAGGCAAAUCCGUCUCCUGUAAGUGAAGCGUGAUGAGGACUGAAAAAAAGUAAGGAAGUUUCCGAAUCCACACUGCCGAGAAAAGCCGCUAUUGCGUUAUGUGUACCCGUACCGUAAACCGACACAGGUAGAUGAGGAGAAAAUCCACAGGCCGACGGGAGAAGUGUUGUUAAGGAACUCGGCAAAAUGACCCCGUAACUUCGGGAUAAGGGGAGCCUCGCAAGAGGCCGCAGAAAAGAGGCACAAGCAACUGUUUAGCAAAAACAUAGGUCUAUGCGAAACCGUAAGGUGAAGUAUAUGGGCUGACGCCUGCCCGGUGCUGGAAGGUUAAAAGGAGAGGUCAGCGCAAGCGAAGCUUUGAAUUCAAGCCCCAGUAAACGGCGGCCGUAACUAUAACGGUCCUAAGGUAGCGAAAUUCCUUGUCAGGUAAGUUCUGACCCGC